rfam:Triticum aestivum genome assembly, contig: Triticum_aestivum_CS42_TGACv1_scaffold_137757_2BL
AUUCUACUCCCUCCGUUGCACAAUACAUGCCUUCUAUUUGUCAAAAUAUAUAUGUAUCUGGACAUGUUUUAGUAUAUAGGCACAUCCAUUUUUGGACAAAUGGAAGUCAAGUAUUUUGGAAUGGAGGGAGUGCACA